UUGUAAAGUUGGCCAUUACAUCAGUAUAAACAAGAUUAUACUAAAGCAACAACUCUACAUUUAAAGCAUUAGUACAACAAAAUGCCUAUUUCUUGCUCAACUAACACAUGUAGCAAGGGUUGUUGGGACUUCUCUAUUCCAUAUGUCACUUGGAACUCUUACUAAGGAAGGCUUGCAUGUCAUCUUAGAUCUGAACUUUCCAGUGUGAGUUCCAUGGUUGCCAAGGACGAGAAGAGAAGGCCGGAUGAAGAGCACUGUCUCUCAGCUGUCGCCACUGUUCACAGUCCAUCCAUUUCAGCUAGUCAUGUGACUCCAGGGCCGUGCAGCGGAAGUUGGAUAAUAUAGGACACUAAAGGCUUCUAUGAUACAGGGACAGAUGUGGCCGCUAUCUCCAUCUCUUUUCAAAACUUCAACGCAAAACACAGGGCUCUAGGAGUCAUCAGGAAGAUGGAGACCAAAUACUGAGCAGGGGCUGGAGUCUCAGCUUGCUUUCCUGUGAUCCAAGAAAGAGACCCAGACUUGAAAGCAUCCCAUCCCACCAUGCCGAGAAUUUGGAUGAUGCAUUGAUGUUCCGGAGAAACAGGUGGUCGUUUAGCUCAGUGAAAAAAAAAGUCACCAGGGGAAGAAGCACCCCAGAGGGGUUCUGUUCUUGUGUUGCAUCUACCUCGGGCAGGGAGGUCUAAAGCAGUGGGAUCCUGUCUCCUACCCAAUGUCACUGUUAGUGACAGAGGGAGGUGGUGCCGGUAUGCAGGGUAUAGCUUCUACAGAACUCAGUCAUGCCAGUGCCAGCACGGCACCCUCCUUGAUGCAAGGCAGGAAUCCUGGGUUAGGGUUAGUAUUCCCACCUCUUUUCUCCUCCAAGGCUAAUGUCCCUUCCGGGCCUCUGUAGUAUAACUUGUUUCUGGAGUUUUUUCCUCCUCUGCCUAGAUCCUCGUCCCUUUGUUGUUCUGAGCCGGGGCCAUGGCUCAGCGGGUGUGUGUCUAACCUCAGUGCUUCCACUGCAAGAUGAGGAGUAGAGAGAGAAUUCCCGGGGAAGCUCAUGAGCCAGCUAGCCCUGUCACAGAGCAACGAGCAAAUGACCGUGUCCCAAACAAGGUUUUGAUGACUCCCCUCUAUCUGAUGGCCAUUGUCUACAGCCCCCA